CUAUGGCGCCCACUUGCGCUCGUUACAAGCAUGUUGUACAGAGAAAUAUUGCUUUAUAGACAGUUGUCGCCGGAUCUUUCAGCAGUAUAGUGCAAGAUGUGAACAAUCACCACGGUCACAAUAACUGAAGAGAUCCCGCACGACGCUGCCUUUUGAAGAUAUCCUUGAUGGUGGGAGGGCUGAGCCUGUGAUGGAUCUGGAUGAGUUUACAACCCUCUGCACCUUUUUCCAAUCAUGCACAUUGGAACUGCCAUACCAGAUGGUGAUAACACCAUAAGACAAUAAGAUAUAGGAGCAGAAUUAGGCCAUUUGGCCCAUCAAGUCUGCUCCGCCAUCCAACCAUGGCUGAUCCUUUUUUUCCCUUCUCAGCCCCACUCCCCGACAUUCUUCCUGCAACCUUUGAUGCCAUGUCCAAUCAAGAACCUAUCAAUCUCCACCUUAAAUACACCCAACUUCCUGGCAUCCACAACUGCCAGUCGUAACAAAUUCCACAAAUUCACUGCCCUCUGGCUAAAGAAAUUUCUCCGUAUCUCUGUUUUAAAUGGACACCCCUCUAUUCUGAGGCUGUACCUUCUGGUCCUCGACUUUCCCACCAUGGGAAACAUCUGUUCCACAUCUACUCUUACUAGUUCUUUCAAAGGUUUCAAUGAGAUCACCACUGAUACAUUCUAAAUUCCAGUGAGUAAGACCCAGUGCCAUCAAAUGUUUCCCAUAUGAUAACACUUUCAUUCUUGUUAUCAUCUUUGUGAAUCUCCUCUGAACCCUUUCCAAUGCCAGCGUAACUUUUCUUCGAUGAGGAGCUCAAAAUUGUUCAUAAUAUUCAAGAUGAGGCUUCAGCACUGCCUUAUAAAGCCUCAGCAUCACAUCCCUGCUCUUGUAUUCUAGACCUCUUGAAAUGAAUACUAGCAUUCAGGCGGGAAGAGAAAAUGGUAGCGCGCCACGCGUGCGCAGCCCUCCGGUGAAAAAUGAUAUCGUAUCUGUUAAGUAGGGGCCGUGGACAAUUCUGAUUUGAUGGAUAAUGGACUUGAAAGCACAGAGGAAAAUCUGAAGAAAUUUCUGAAAUGCCCGUUCACUGCUGUCGUUACUGUGUGGUCGUGAAUCUUUCGGAGGGUAGGCCUCAAAAUCCCCGGCCUUGCCUGCUUUUGGCGACCGAGAAGGAGGUCGAGUCAUUCGGAUAGAGAUGGCGCUCAGUACUCAGUGUCGGACAGCUGAUCAGAGCUCGAAGUUUUCGGAUGACUCAGAAUCGGAUUGUGGUCGGCAUGGCAGGGAGAGAUUUUCUUCCUUCUCCCAUCUGCGUGAGAUGUAGGGUAUUUGAGAAACUUUGAACUUUACUGUGCUCACGGACUUCUUCAUCAAGUUAUGGUACUCUUACACUGUUUGUAACUAUAUGUUAUAAUUAUGUGGUUCUGUCAGUUUUUUCAGUCUUGGUUUGUCCUGUGUUUUGUGAUAUCACACCGGAGGAAAUAAUGUAUCAUUUCUUAAUGCAUGCAUUACUAAUUGACAAUAAAAGAGGACUAAUCAUUGCAUUUGCCUUCCUCACCACUGACUCAACCUGCAAGCUUACCUUUUUGGGUGUUCUGCACAAGGACUCCCAAGUCCCUUUGCAUCUCAGAUUUUUGGAUUUUCUCCCUAUUUGUAAAAUAGUCUGCACACUUAUUUCUUCUACUAAAGUGGAUGACCAUGCAUUUUCCAACAUUGUAUUUCACUUUCCACUCUCUUGCCUAUACUCCAAACCUAAGUCCUUCUGCAGUCUUCCUG